AACGUACGCUGGCGGCACGCCUAACACAUGCAAGUCGAACGAAGUAGCAAUACUUAGUGGCAGACGGGUGAGUAACAUGUAGGUAUCUGCCCUUUGGCCUGGAAUAACACGAGGAAACUUGUGCUAAUACCGGAUAAGUCUUUACGGAGAAAGCUUUAUGCACCAUUGGAUGAGCCUGCACUUGAUUAGUUUGUUGGUGGGGUAAUGGCCUACCAAGACUGUGAUCAAUAGCUGAUUUGAGAGGAUGAUCAGCCACAUUGGGACUGAGACACGGCCCAAACUCCUACGGGAGGCAGCAGUGGGGAAUCUUGCACAAUGGAGGAAACUCUGAUGCAGCGAUGCCGCGUGAGUGAAGAAGGCCCUUGGGUUGUAAAGCUCUUUCGUCGGGGAAGAAAAUGACUGUACCCGAAUAAGAAGGUCCGGCUAACUUCGUGCCAGCAGCCGCGGUAAUACGAAGGGACCUAGCGUAGUUCGGAAUUACUGGGCUUAAAGAGUUCGUAGGUGGUUGAAAAAGUUAGUGGUGAAAUCCCAGAGCUUAACUCUGGAACUGCCAUUAAAACUUUUCAGCUAGAGUAUGAUAGAGGAAAGCAGAAUUUCUAGUGUAGAGGUGAAAUUCGUAGAUAUUAGAAAGAAUACCAAUUGCGAAGGCAGCUUUCUGGAUCAUAACUGACACUGAGGAACGAAAGCAUGGGUAGCGAAGAGGAUUAGAUACCCUCGUAGUCCAUGCCGUAAACGAUGUGUGUUAGACGUUGGAAAUUUAUUUUCAGUGUCGCAGGGAAACCGAUAAACACACCGCCUGGGGAGUACGACCGCAAGGUUAAAACUCAAAUGAAUUGACGGGGACCCGCACAAGUAGUGGAGCAUGUGGUUUAAUUCGAAGAUACGCGCAGAACCUUACCAACACUUGACAUGUUCGUCGCGACUCUAAGAGAUUAGAGUUUUCGGUUCGGCCGGACGAAACACAGGUGCUGCAUGGCUGUCGUCAGCUCGUGUCGUGAGAUGUUGGGUUAAGUCCCGCAACGAGCGCAACCCUCACUUUUAGUUGCCAUCAUUAAGUUGGGCACUCUGAAAGAACUGCCAGUGAUAAGCUGGAGGAAGGUGGGGAUGACGUCAAGUCCUCAUGGCCCUUACGUGUUGGGCUACACACGUGCUACAAUGGUAUCUACAACAGGAAGCAAGACUGCGAAGUUAAGCAAAUCCCUAAAAGAUACCUCAGUUCGGAUUGCACUCUGCAACUCGAGUGCAUGAAGCUGGAAUUACUAGUAAUCGUGGAUCAGCGUGCCACGGUGAAUGCGUUCCCGGGUCU
rnacentral:rRNA from 1 species